rnacentral:rRNA from 1 species
GGUCUCCGUAGGUGAACCUGCGGAGGGAUCAUUAC